UGGGGAAUAUUGGACAAUGGGGGAAACCCUGAUCCAGCAAUGCCGCGUGUGUGAAGAAGGUCUUCGGAUUGUAAAGCACUUUCGACGGGGACGAUGAUGACGGUACCCGUAGAAGAAGCCCCGGCUAACUUCGUGCCAGCAGCCGAGGUAAUACGAAGGGGGCUAGCGUUGCUCGGAAUGACUGGGCGUAAAGGGCGCGUAGGCGGAUGGCACAGUCAGAUGUGAAAUUCCCGGGCUUAACCUGGGGGCUGCAUUUGAUACGUGUUAUCUAGAGUGAGGAAGAGGGUCGUGGAAUUCCCAGUGUAGAGGUGAAAUUCGUAGAUAUUGGGAAGAACACCGGUGGCGAAGGCGGCGACCUGGUCCUUGACUGACGCUGAGGCGCGAAAGCGUGGGGAGCAAAC
rnacentral:rRNA from 1 species